rnacentral:lncRNA from 12 species
GUUCUCGGUGCCGAGCACGGUGCCUGGCACGCGCCGCCGGGUGCUUCGUCCCCCUUCGCGGGACCAAGGGAUCGCAUUUUCUCCGGAACGCAGCGGGGGGGGGCAGCCGAGCGGCGCGCACAGGUGGGGCGGCCCGGCGCGCGCGGGUGUGUGUGUGUGUGUGUGUGUGUGUGUGUGCGCCGUGGGGCGGGGGUGUGCGCCGUGGGGCGCGCGGGCGGGCCCGGAGCGCGGAGCCCCGGAGCGCGGAGCCCCGGAGCGCGGAGCCCCGAGCGCGGAGCGGGAGCGGGAGCGGGAGCCGGGCACAGGGAGCGCGAGCGGGAGCAGCAGGGCCCGCAGCGCCGGGCGGCCGGGCGGCUCGGAGGUGGGUGGGCCGCGCCGCCAGCCCGCCCGGGGGUCCCCAUUGGCCGCCGCCGGCCGCCCUUCGCCAGGAGGAGCCGCGAGGCCGCUCGCGAGCUGGAGGGGGAGCGCCCGACCGCGCCGACGCCGGGGCGGCCGCGUGGGAUCCGCGCCCCCAGGCGCCCCCGCCCGCGCUCCCGCCGCCGCCCCGCUCGUGGCCGGCGCUCGCCGUCGGCCUCCGACUGCUCCAGAGGGACCCGCGCCGCUCCCGGGCGCCGGGUGAGUGGCCGCGCGCGCUCCCCGGCUCCUCCCGGGCCCCGCCGCCUGCUUUUGCUUUCGCCUCGGCGGCGGCGGCGGCGGCGCGGCGGGGUUUGCCCGGGCAGCGCCCGAGGCGCCCGGGCAGGCCGAGGCGGGGCCGGCUGGGCUGGGGAAGGGGGCGCGCCCGGGAGGCUCCCCCAGCCCGCGGCCCGGCGGGAACAGGUGGCGCGGGCCCGGCCGGGCGCUUUGUGUCGGGGCGCGGAGACGGGAGCGGGCGGCCGCGCCUCCUCGGCCGCUCGCCCCCUCCCUCGCCUGCUCCCGGGCGGCCGCUCGCCGGGUCGGCCGGGUAACGGAGCGGGAGUCGCCAGGAAUGUGCCUCGGGGGACUGCGUGGCGGUGGCGGGGGGCGGGGGGGCCGCUGCGCCGCCGCAGGCGGAGGGGAUGCUCGCGGCGAGGCGCGUUCCGCCGGGCCUGGCGGGGGCUUCCCUCUUCGCGGCGGCCCGGGAGGUGGGGAGCUGGGGGGCGUGUGUGCGCGAGGGGGAGGCGGGGAGGCGGGAGGCGGGAGGCGGGGAGGCGGGGAGGCCGCUCACUUCCGGAGCCGGUUCUGGGCCGCGCCGAGCGCCCUGCCCUCGGGGACGCGGGCCUCGGGGUGCGGCCGUGCCGGGGCCCACGCGCGCGGCCGCGGUGCGGGGCUGGGGCGGCCCCGGCGCGGGCUUGA